AUGAUUGGAGCCCACAGAUCCCCUAGCUUAGACCUGGCUGCCAGUGCUGGGUCCCAUGGCCAGUAUGAAAGAGCUCCCACACAGCCAGUGGCUAUGGAGGCCAACAGCUGCAGGCCCCCAGAGUGGGAAGGGACAGCGGGUGGGGUGAGUGGCCAACAACUAAACCAGAAUCCUCAGUCCAUGUCCCUCCAGGAAGGAGAGGACUCCAUCAUUAAUUGCAAUUCUUCAAGCACAUUUAACUCUUUCCUAUGGUACAAGCAGGAUGCUGGAGAAGGUCUUGUCCUCUUGAUAACUCUAUACAAAAGUGGUGAAGUAACCAGAAAGGAGAAAUUGACUGCUCAGUUUGGUGAAACAAGAAAGGACAGCUUACUGCACAUCUCAGCCUCAGCACCAGAUGAUACAGGCACCUACUUCUGUGCUGGGAGGCACAGUGUUCCUCAAACACUUACAGCCUGUACCCAAACCUGCAGCUAG